UACGGAGGGUGCAAGCGUUGUUCGGAAUUACUGGGCGUAAAGCGCGUGUAGGCGGUUUAUUAAGUCUGAUGUGAAAGCCCUGGGCUCAACCCAGGAAGUGCAUUGGAUACUGGGAGACUUGAAUACGGGAGAGGGUAGUGGAAUUCCUAGUGUAGGAGUGAAAUGCGUAGAUAUUAGGAGGAACACCGGUGGCGAAGGCGGCUACCUGGACCGAUAUUGACGCUGAGACGCGAAAGCGUGGGGAGCAAACAGG
rnacentral:rRNA from 1 species